CAUGCCCCAGCUCGUGUUGCAAAUGUGGCUGUUGUGCCAUGUUUGUGUCAUUAGGUGGCAGAGAGGAAAAGGCUACGUCUUUGCUAGCGCUCCGAAACCCGUGAGCGCUCAGGGAUGAUCCACAGCCUGACAAUU
ensembl:snoRNA